rnacentral:tRNA from 1 species
AUUAGCUCAGUAGGCAGAGCGCCCGGCUUUUAACCGUGUGGUCGUGGGUUCGAGCCCCACA